rnacentral:rRNA from 1 species
GCUGCAAGAGAGUUGACUUAGUGGCGGAACGGGUGAGUAACGACGUGGGUAACCUGCCUCAAUACAGGGGGAUAACAGUUGGAAACGACUGCUAAAGACCGCAUAACCCGCUAGUGUCGCAUGACACGGACGGAAAAUAUUUAUAGGUAUGAGAUGGGCCCGCGUCUGAUUAGCUAGUUGGUAAGGUAACGGCUUACCAAGGCGACGAUCAGUAGCCGACUUGAGAGAGUGAUCGGCCACAUUGGGACUGAGACACGGCCCAAACUCCUACGGGAGGCAGCAGUGGGGAAUAUUGGACAAUGGGGGAAACCCUGAUCCAAGCGACGCCGCGUGAGUGAAGAAGUAUUUCGGUAUGUAAAGCUCUAUCAGCAGGGAAGAUAAUGACAGUACCUGACUAAGAAGCCCCGGCUAACUACGUGCCAGCCGCAGC